rnacentral:rRNA from 1 species
CCUACGGGAGGCAGCAGUGAGGAAUAUUGGUCAAUGAGCGAGAGCCUGAACCAGCCAAGUCGCGUGAAGGAUGAAGGAUCUAUGGUUUGUAAACUUCUUUUAUAUGGGAAUAAAGUGAGGAACGUGUUCCUUUUUGUAUGUACCAUAUGAAUAAGCAUCGGCUAACUCCGUGCCAGCAGCCGCGGUAAUAAGGAGGAUGCGAGCGUUAUCCGGAUUUAUUGGGUUUAAAGGGUGCGUAGGGGUGUAAUUAAGUCAGCGGUGAAAGUGUGUGGCUCAACCAUAGGAUUGCCGUGGAUACUGGUUAACUAGAGUAUAUUUGAGGUAGGCGGAAUGCGUGGUGAAGCGGUGAAAUGCAUAGAUAUAACGCAGAACACCGAAUGCGAAGGCAGCUUACUAAGC